ACGAACGCUGGCGGCGUGGAUAAGACAUGCAAGUCGAGCGAGAUUUUUUCUUGUAGCAAUACAGGGAAACGUCUAGCGGCGAACGGGUGCUUAACACGUGGGCAAUCUGCCGAGAAGUGGGGGAUAGCUCGCCGAAAGGCGAAUUAAUACCGCAUGUGAUUAGAGUGGACAUCCAUUCAAAAUCAAAGUCGGGGCAACCUGACGCUUUUUGAGGAGCCCGCGGCCUAUCAGCUAGUUGGUGAGGUAACGGCUCACCAAGGCUUUGACGGGUAGCUGGUCUGAGAGGACGACCAGCCACACUGGGACUGAGACACGGCCCAGACACCUACGGGUGGCAGCAGUCGAGAAUUUUUCUCAAUGGGGGAAACCCUGAAGGAGCGACGCCGCGUGGAGGAUGAAGGCCUUCGGGUUGUAAACUCCUGUCAUUUGGGAACAAGUCGUAAAUAUUAACUGUAUUUGCGUUGAUAGUACCAGAAGAGGAAGAGACGGCUAACUCUGUGCCAGCAGCCGCGGUAAUACAGAGGUCUCAAGCGUUGUUCGGAUUCAUUGGGCGUAAAGGGUGCGUAGGCGGCGCGGUAAGUCGGAUGUGAAAUCUC
rnacentral:rRNA from 1 species